AGUGAACGCUGGCGGUAGGCCUAACACAUGCAAGUCGAACGGCAGCACAGUAAGAGCUUGCUCUUACGGGUGGCGAGUGGCGGACGGGUGAGGAAUACAUCGGAAUCUACUUUUUCGUGGGGGAUAACGUAGGGAAACUUACGCUAAUACCGCAUACGACCUACGGGUGAAAGCAGGGGAUCUUCCGACCUUGCGCGAUUGAAUGAGCCGAUGUCGGAUUAGCUAGUUGGCGGGGUAAAGGCCCACCAAGGCGACGAUCCGUAGCUGGUCUGAGAGGAUGAUCAGCCACACUGGAACUGAGACACGGUCCAGACUCCUACGGGAGGCAGCGGUGGGGAAUAUUGGACAAUGGGCGCAAGCCUGAUCCAGCCAUACCGCGUGAGUGAAGAAGGCCUUCGGGUUGUAAAGCCCUUUUGUUGGGAAAGAAAAGCAGCAGGUUAAUACCCCGCUGUUCUGACGGUACCCAAAGAAUAAGCACCGGCUAACUUCGUG
rnacentral:rRNA from 1 species